AUUGAACGCUGGCGGCAGGCCUAACACAUGCAAGUCGAACGGCAACACAAUGCGAGUUUCCGCUUUCCGGUCGCGAGUGGCGGGCGUGAGUGGAGUCCGUCAGACUCUCCUUUUUCGUGGGGGAUCACCUAGGAACAGUUACUCUUAUACCGCAUCCUACCAACGCGUGAAAGCGGGGCAUUUUGGGCCCUUGCCCUCGUGAGUGCCCCGAUGGCGUAUUAUCUAGGUGGGGGGGUAAAGGCCCCCCAAGGCGACGAUCCGUAGCUGGUCUGAGAGGGUGAUCAGCCACACUGGAACUGAGACACGGUCCAGGCUCCUAAGGGAGGAAGCAGUGGGGAAUAUUGGACAAGGGGCGCAAGCCUGAUCCAGCCAUACCGCGUGGGUGAAGAAGGCCUUCGGGUUGUAAAGCCCUUUUGUUGGGAAAGAAAAGCAGCAGGUUAAUACCCCGCUGUUCUGACGGUACCCAAAGAAUAAGCACCGGCUAACUUCGUG
rnacentral:rRNA from 1 species